AAACUGGAAGGUCUGAGUGUGUUUGAGGAGGGAGAGAGAGAGGGGAGCAAAGGGGAGGAACUCGUUCACAGUGACGGCAGACGCCCUCAUGAGCCUCUCCUCUUCUGCUGCUCCUCCUGCUGGUAACCAUGGCAACCACACUGACGGUCGUUAUGCUGAAGCUGGAGACACACGGGAUUUAAAUGCUUCUAUAGAGCUAUACCGAUUGACUGCCAGCGUGAUGGAGUGGUUAAAACAGCUUGACAGCACAAGGGUCGCCACAGCGGAAUGAACCGCCAACUAUUCCAA